UAUACGACCGUACCGCAAACCGACACUGGUGCGCGAGAUGAGUAUUCUAAGGCGCUUGAGAGAACUCAGGAGAAGGAACUCGGCAAAUUGACACCGUAACUUCGGAAGAAGGUGUGCUCUAUUAGUGUGUAGUGAACAACGAAGCAUGAAUGGGUUGCAAAAAAUCGGUGGCUGCGACUGUUUAUUAAAAACACAGCACUCUGCAAACACGAAAGUGGACGUAUAGGGUGUGACGCCUGCCCGGUGCUGGAAGAUUAAAUGAUGGGGUGCAAGCUCUUGAUUGAAGUCCCAGUAAACGGCGGCCGUAACGAUAACGGUCCUAAGGUAGCGAAAUUCCUUGUCGGGUAAGUUCCGACCUGCACGAAUGGCGUAACGAUGGCCACACUGUCUCCUCCUGAGACUCAGCGAAGUUGAAAUGUUUGUGAUGAUGCAAUCUCCCCGCGGAAAGACGGAAAGACCCCAUGAACCUUUACUGUAGCUUUGUAUUGGACUUUGAACAGAUCUGUGUAGGAUAGGUGGGAGGCUUUGAAGCAGGGUCGCUAGAUCUUGUGGAGCCAACGUUGAAAUACCACCCUGGUGUGUUUGAGGUUCUAACCUAGGUCCAUUAUCUGGAUCGGGGACAGUGCAUGGUAGGCAGUUUGACUGGGGCGGUCUCCUCCCAAAGCGUAACGGAGGAGUUCGAAGGUACGCUAGUUACGGUCGGACAUCGUGACGAUAGUGCAAUGGCAUAAGCGUGCUUAACUGCGAGACUGACAAGUCGAGCAGAUGCGAAAGCAGGACAUAGUGAUCCGGUGGUUCUGUAUGGAAGGGCCAUCGCUCAACGGAUAAAAGGCACUCUGGGGAUAACAGGCUGAUACCGCCCAAGAGUUCAUAUCGACGGCGGUGUUUGGCACCUCGAUGUCGGCUCAUCUCAUCCUGGGGCUGUAGCCGGUCCCAAGGGUAUGGCUGUUCGCCAUUUAAAGAGGUACGUGAGCUGGGUUUAAAACGUCGUGAGACAGUUUGGUCCCUAUCUUCCGUGGGCGCUGCAGAUUUGAGGAAGCCUGCUCCUAGUACGAGAGGACCGGAGUGGACACACCUCUGGUGUAUCGGUUGUCACGCCAGAGGCAUUGCCGAGUAGCUAAGUGUGGAAGAGAUAACCGCUGAAAGCAUCUAAGCGGGAAACUCGUUUCAAGAUGAGAUCUGCCGGGGCCUUGAGCCCCCUAAAGAGUCGUUCAAGACCAGGACGUUGAUAGGUCAGGUGUGGAAAC
rnacentral:rRNA from 1 species